GGGGUGUAGACUUUGGUUUACGUCAGAGCAUGCAAGGUUGCAUCUUUUUUUCAUUGGUUUCUGUUCUGUCUGGAUUCACCCAGGGCCACUGCUGGUGGUAUAAACACCCUUUUAAUAGGUUGCUUGGGGCAUGGCCCACUGUGAUCAAGGGCAGCACAUUCAGUCCCUGUCAUUAAAUAGCGCUCCCUUUAAUCCCUGGAGGUGGAUGACGUUCUGCAAUUUACAAUGUGGCAAAUGCAUCUGGCAGUGUUGAGAUAUGGGUUAUGAGAAAGGCACAUAUGCAAACACAGAAAACUGUUCCAAGCGAGGUCAGAACAAUUCACAAUACGUACUUUGGCUCGGCUUGCUGAUCAUCCUCAAAACCUAUGUACAGAAAAUUGCAGGCGAGACUAAUAAAAACAUAAUGAGUCCUGACCAGCGAGAAUAGUUUAUUAUGAUUCGCUUUAAUAGUCUUCUCACUGCUCUUCCCUCAUGCCAGCAAAUAUCUGCCGUUGCCUGCAGAUGAACCUUUUUCAGACUGCCAUGAAUCACGCCGCAGGAGAGGCACCACAUGGGAGGUGUGUUUGGGCUACAUCUGGAAAAACAGUGCUGGAUGGUGGCUGCACGUUGCCCACAGCCCUGGCAGAGGCACAGCAAGGCUGUUGGCCCAGAAUAAUGAAAUGUGGGUACCCUGAUGGAUGACAGGAAGCCUUUGCAAUCUGUUGAAGUACAAUUAAUAGCUGGCAAGCUGAAGAUCAACACAGUUUGGGCCAAACAGAGUCACUUCAAGGUUUCUGUCCUUGUGUCUCGGUCAGCAGCAGCUCAGCCUGGAGGUUGAACCCCCAAGUGCAGAAGCAAUCCUGAUCCUGCAGCCUGCUUGUAAAAGGUAUCCCAGGCCUGUAAGACCACGAGUCUUCUACAUCUGGUCAGAAUAAAGUCAGAGAGAAAGGCA
rnacentral:lncRNA from 1 species